CCAAUAGCGUAUAUUAAAGUUGUUGCAGUUAAAAAGCUCGUAGUUGAAUUUCGGAAUUUUUUUAUCGGUUGAAUCAACAGGUUCUUACUGAUUUUAAGAAUUUCUACCUUCUGGAGAACCUUAAUGUCAUUUAUUUGAUGUUUUGGGAAACCAGGACUGUUACCUUGAAAAAAUUAGAGUGUUUAAAGCAGGCUUAUGUCUGAAUAUAUUAGCAUGGAAUAAUGAAAUAGGACGGCAUGGUUCUAUUUUGUUGGUUUCUAGGAUCACCGUAAUGAUUAAUAGGGAUAGUUGGGGGCAUUAGUAUUCAAUUGUAAGAGGUGAAAUUCUUGGAUUUAUUGAAGACUAACUUCUGCGAAAGCAUUUGCCAAGGAUGUUUUCAUUAAUCAAGAACGAAAGUUAGGGGAUCGAAGACGAUCAGAUACCGUCGUAGUCUUAACCAUAAACUAUGCCGACUAGGAAUCGGACGAAGUUAAUUUUUUAAUGACUCGUUCGGCGCCUUACG
rnacentral:rRNA from 1 species